rnacentral:rRNA from 1 species
GACGAACGCUGGCGGCGUGCCUAAUACAUGCAAGUAGAACGCUGACUACUUUAGCUUGCCAGAGUAGAAGGAGUUGCGAACGGGUGAGUAACGCGUAGGUAACCUGCCUACUAGCGGGGGAUAACUAUUGGAAACGAUAGCUAAUACCGCAUAACAGUGUUUAACACAUGUUAGAUGCUUGAAAGAUGCAAUUGCAACACUAGUAGAUGGACCUGCGUUGUAUUAGCUAGUUGGUGGGGUAACGGCCCACCAAGGCGACGAUACAUAGCCGACCUGGUAGGGUGAUCGGCCACACUGGGACUGAGACACGGCCCAGACGCCUACGGGAGGCAGCAGUAGGGAAUCUUCGGCAAUGGGGGCAACCCUGACCGAGCAACGCCGCGUGAGUGAAGAAGUUUUUCGGAUCGUAAAGCUCUGUUGUAAGAGAAGAACGUGUGUGAGAGUGGAAAGUUCACACAGUGACGGUAACUUACCAGAAAGGGACGGCUAACUACGUGCCAGCCGCCGCGGUAA